GAUCCUGGCUCAGAAUCAACGCUGGCGGCGUGCCUCAGACAUGCAAGUCGAACGCGAAAGUCCCCUUCGGGGGACGAGUAGAGUGGCGUCCGGGUGAGUAACACGUGAGUAAUUUGCCUUCGGGUGGGGAAUAACAGCCGGAAACGGCUGCUAAUACCGCAUGAUGCAGCGGCACCUCAUGGUGACAGUUGUUAAAGCGGGGGAUCGCAAGACCUCGCGCCUGAAGAGAAGCUCGCGGCAGAUUAGCUAGUUGGUAGGGUAACGGCCUACCAAGGCUACGAUCUGUAGCCGGCCUGAGAGGGCGGUCGGCCACACUGACACUGACACACGGGUCAGACUCCUACGGGAGGCAGCAGUCGGGAAUUUUGGGCAAUGGGCGAAAGCCUGACCCAGCAACGCCGCGUGAAGGAUGAAGUUUUUCGGAAUGUAAACUUCACAAGAAUGGGAAGAAUAAGUGGGGGCUAAUACCCUCCAUGAUGACGGUACCAUUUGUAAGCUCCGGCUAACUCCGUGCCAGCAGCCGCGGUAAUACGGGGGGAGCAAGCGUUGUUCGGAUUUACUGGGCGUAAAGGGCGCGUAGGCGGCGCAACAAGUCAGUUGUGAAAUCUCUGGGCUUAACCCAGAGCGGUCAACUGAUACUGUCGUGCUAGAGUGCGGAAGGGGCAACUGGAAUUCUCGGUGUAGCGGUGA
rnacentral:rRNA from 1 species